AUACGUAGGGGGCGAGCGUUGUCCGGAAUGAUUGGGCGUAAAGGGCGCGUAGGCGGCGCGGUAAGUCUGGAGUGAAAGUCCUGCUUUCAAGGUGGGAAUUGCUUUGGAUACUGCCGCGCUUGAGUGCAGGAGAGGUUAUCGGAAUUCCCGGUGUAGCGGUGAAAUGCGUAGAGCUCGGGAGGAACACCAGUGGCGAAGGCGGGUAACUGGACUGCAACUGACGCUGAGGCGCGAAAGUGUGGGGAGCAAACAGGAUUAGAUACCCUGGUAGUCCACACUGUAAACGAUGAAUGCUAGGUGUAAGAGGUAUCGACCCCUUUUGUGCCGGAGUCAACACAAUAAGCAUUCCGCCUGGGGAGUACGGCCGCAAGGUUGAAACUCAAAUGAAUUGACGGGG
rnacentral:rRNA from 1 species